UGCGCCAUNGAAUGCAGUCGAACGAAAGUCGUUUUAAUGAAGUUGAUUUAGUUUACUAUUGAGACAGAUUUAAAACAAUGGCUUUAGUGGCGGACUGGUGAGUAACACAUAAGCNAUCUGCCUAUCAGAGGGGAACAACNAUGAGAAAUCNUUGCUAAUACCGCAUACUCUAAAAUAAUCGCAUGGUUAAUUUAGGAAAGGAGAAAUCCGCUGAUAGAUGAGCUUAUGGCUGAUUAGCUAGUUGGUAUGGUAAUGGCAUACCAAGGCAACGAUCAGUAGCCGAACUGAGAGGUUGAACGGCCACAUUGGGACUGAGAUACGGCCCAGACUCCUACGGGAGGCAGCAGUCGGGAAUAUUGCGCAAUGGAGGAAACUCUGACGCAGUGACGCCGCGUAUAGGAAGAAGGUUUUCGGAUUGUAAACUAUUGUCAUUAGGGAAGAAAAAAGACAGUACCUAAAGAGGAAGCUCCGGCUAACUAUGUGCCAGCAGCCGCGGUAAUACAUAGGGAGCAAGCGUUAUCCGGAAUUAUUGGGUGUAAAGGGUGCGUAGACGGGUUAGCAAGUUAGUUGUGAAAUCCCUCGGCUUAACUGAGGAACUGCAACUAAAACUACUAAUCUUGAGUGUAGGAGAGGUAAGUGGAAUUCCUAGUGUAGCGGUGAAAUGCGUAGAUAUUAGGAGGAACACCAGUGGCGAAGGCGACUUACUGGACUACAACUGACGUUGAGGCACGAAAGUGUGGGGAGCAAACAGGAUUAGAUACCCUGGUAGUCCACACUGUAAACGAUGGAUACUAGGUGUAGGGGGUGAUUUACCUUCUGUGCCGAACCGCNAAACGCAAUAAGUAUCCCNCCCUGGGGAGUACGGCCNCCAGGCUGAAACUCAAGGAAUUGACNGGGGNCCCNCCCCAGCCGUGGAGUAUGUGGUUUAAUUCCCAAGCCACCCCNAANAAUCCUUACCCNAGGAUGGACNNCCNGAUGAAUAUUGCNGAAAUGCCAUAGUCCUUCCGGACCUC
rnacentral:rRNA from 1 species